GACGUAGGGCGCGAGCGUUGUCCGGAUUUAUUGGGCGUAAAGAGCUCGUAGGCGGCUUGGCAAGUCGGAUGUGAAAACUCCAGGCUCAACCUGGAGCCGCCAUUCGAUACUGCUAUGGCUAGAGUCCGGUAGGGGAGUGUGGAAUUCCUGGUGUAGCGGUGAAAUGCGCAGAUAUCAGGAAGAACACCCGUGGCGAAAGCGGCUCUCUGGAAACGGUAACUGGACGCUGAGACGCGAAAGCCGUGGGGAGCGAACAGG
rnacentral:rRNA from 1 species